UUGACUACCAGGUGUGUAAUGCAGGUCUGUUGACCUAAAAACAUUGACUACCAGGUGUGUAAUGCAGGUCUGUUGACCUAAAAACAUUGUCUACCAGGUGUGUAAUGCAGGUCUGUUGACCUAAAAACAUUGACUACCAGGUGUGUAAUGCAGUUCUGUUGACCUAAAAACAUUGUCUACCAGGUGUGUAAUGCAGGUCAGUUGGGUCUAAAAACAUUGACUACCAGGUGUGUAAUGCAGGUCUGUUGACCUAAAAACAUUGUCUACCAGGUGUGUAAUGCAGGUCUGUUGACCUAAAAACAUUGACUACCAGGUGUGUAAUGCAGGUCUGUUGACCUAAAAACAUUGACUACCAGAUGUGUAAUGCAGGUCAGUUGGGUCUAAAAACAUUGACUACCAGGUGUGUAAUGCAGGUCUGUUGACCUAAAAACAUUGUCUACCAGGUGUGUAAUGCAGGUCAGUUGGGUCUAAAAACAUUGACUACCAGGUGUGUAAUGCAGGUCUGUUGACCUAAAAACAUUGACUACCAGGUGUGUAAUGCAGGUCUGUUGACCUAAAAACAUUGACUACCAGGUGUGUAAUGCAGGUCUGUUGACCUAAAAACAUUGACUACCAGGUGUGUAAUGCAGGUCUGUUGACCUAAAAACAUUGACUACCAGGUGUGUAAUGCAGGUCAGUUGGGUCUAAAAACAUUGACUACCAGGUGUGUAAUGCAGGUCUGUUGACCUAAAACCAUUGACUACCAGGUGUGUAAUGCAGGUCUGUUGACCUAAAAACAUUGACUACCAGGUGUGUAAUGCAGGUCAGUUGGGUCUAAAAACAUUGACUACCAGGUGUGUAAUGCAGGUCUGUUGGGUCUAAACACAUUGAUUACCAGGUGUGUAAUGCAGGUCUGUUGACCUAAAAACAUUGACUACCAGGUGUGUAAUGCAGGUCUGUUGGGUCUAAACACAUUGAUUACCAGGUGUGUAAUGCAGGUCUGUUGACCUAAAAACAUUGACUACCAGGUGUGUAAUGCAGGUCUGUUGGGUCUAAACACAUUGAUUACCAGGUGUGUAAUGCAGGUCUGUUGACCUAAAAACAUUGACUACCAGGUGUGUAAUGCAGGUCUGUUGGGUCUAAACACAUUGAUUACCAGGUGUGUAAUGCAGGUCUGUUGACCUAAAAACAUUGUCUACCAGGUGUGUAAUGCAGGUCUGUUGACCUAAAAACAUUGACUACCAGGUGUGUAAUGCAGGUCUGUUGACCUAAAAACAUUGACUACCAGGUGUGUAAUGCAGGUCUGUUGACCUAAAAACAUUGACUACCAGGUGUGUAAUGCAGGUCUGUUGACCUAAAAACAUUGACUACCAGGUGUGUAAUGCAGGUCUGUUGACCUAAAAACAUUGACUACCAGGUGUGUAAUGCAGGUCUGUUGACCUAAAAACAUUGACUACCAGGUGUGUAAUGCAGGUCUGUUGACCUAAAAACAUUGACUACCAGGUGUGUAAUGCAGGUCUGUUGACCUAAAAACAUUGACUACCAGGUGUGUAAUGCAGGUCUGUUGACCUAAAAACAUUGACUACCAGGUGUGUUGGCCUUGUUGAUUAUUUUGUCAGCUUAUCAUUGUAUGUGUAUAUUCUGUCAUAUAUCAGAGAAAUAUUUAUGAUAUUCAAGGAGAGAACAAUUUUCUAUUUAUUGCUACAAUGAAUAUUGAUAUAAUCAAUAAUGCAGUAUUUGCUAUGACAUUCUGCUGAUAUUAAGUGUGAGGAAUGACAGCAAGCCAGCAUCAUUCUGUUUUUGGCUUUCAUUAUUUGUUUAAAGAUCCUAUACAACUGUUAUCAUAUUUAUAUUUAUUAAAAAUCUCUAGUAUGCAGUGAAGAUGCUGUAUGCUUUGAUUUAUUCUGCUUUAACAAGCAGCCUGCAUUUGAAGUCUUAUGAUUGAAAUAUCGACAGUUGUCAUGUGACAAUAAGGAACAUCUAGGAAAACAAAAGUUGUUUAUGAAAGCUAGAAAUGUCAAGAUCAUCAAAACAGGGCAUAAAUUUUGUAGAAAUAUUUGUGUUGACAAUGAAUGCUGCCUUGAUCGAUUGUACAUGUAAUAAAGCUUGUAUUCUACUUCA